rnacentral:rRNA from 1 species
UAGGGAAUAUUGGGCAAUGGCCGCGAGGCUGACCCAGCCAUGCCGCGUGCCGGAUGACGGCCUUCUGGGUUGUAAACGGCUUUUCUCAGGGAAGAAAACGCGCCUGCGGGCGUACCUGACGGUACCUGAGGAAGAAGCACCGGCUAACUCCGUGCCAGCAGCCGCGGUAAUACGGAGGGUGCGAGCGUUGUCCGGAUUUAUUGGGUUUAAAGGGUGCGUAGGCGGCCUGUUAAGUCCGGGGUGAAAGCCCACAGCUCAACUGUGGAACUGCCCUGGAUACUGGCAGGCUUGAGUCCAGACGAGGUUGGCGGAAUAGACGCUGUAGCGGUGAAAUGCAUAGAUAGCGUCUAGAACCCCGAUUGCGAAGGCAGCUGACUAGGCUGGCACUGACGCUGAGGCA